AUAAAUUUGGCAAUUAUUAACCCAACGAAAUGGAUUAUAAAAUAUGCAAAAUCGACGCAGCACUUUAUUUAACUUGCAGUUAAUUCAUGACACACUUAAAAGAUUAUUAAUUUAAAUUAACCACAAAUCACAAGUUCGCCGGUGUACGAAGGGGACGAAGAGCACAGAGCACGGAGAAAGAAAUUGCGGAUUUAAACAUUUUUAAAAAUCGCACGCACCACAAACCAGGC
ensembl:ncRNA lncRNA:CR44410 long non-coding RNA:CR44410